rnacentral:rRNA from 1 species
AGCCGCGGUAAUACGGAGGAUCCAAGCGUUAUCCGGAAUCAUUGGGUUUAAAGGGUCCGUAGGCGGGAUAAUAAGUCAGUGGUGAAAGUCUGCAGCUUAACUGUAGAAUUGCCAUUGAUACUGUUGUUCUUGAAUUAUUAUGAAGUGGUUGGAAUGAGUAGUGUAGCGGUGAAAUGCAUAGAUAUUACUCAGAACACCUAUCGCGAAGGCAGAUCACUAAUAAUAUAUUGACGCUGAUGGACGAAAGCGUAGGUAGCGAACAGGAUUAGAUACCCUGGUAGUCUACGCCGUAAACGAUGGUUACUAGCUGUCCGGCCCAAUUGAGGGCUGGGUGGUUAAGCGAAAGUGAUAAGUAACCCACCUGGGGAGUACGUUCGCAAGAAUGAAACUCAAAGGAAUUGACGGGGGCCCGCACAAGCGGUGGAGCAUGUGGUUUAAUUCGAUGAUACGCGAGGAACCUUACCAGGGCUUAAAUGCAGUUGGACAGGUCUGGAAACAGACCCUUCUUCGGACUAAUUGCAAGGUGCAGCAUGGUUGUCGUCAGCUCGUGCCGUGAGGUGUCAGGUUAAGUCC